rnacentral:rRNA from 1 species
UAGGGUUCGAUCCUGGCUCAGAUUGAACGCUAGCGGCAUGCUUAACACAUGCAAGUCGAACGGCAGCGCGAGGAGCUUGCUCCUUGGCGGCGAGUGGCGGACGGGUGAGUAACGCGUAGGAAUCUACCUUAUAGUGGGGGAUAACCCGGGGAAACUCGGGCUAAUACCGCAUAAUCUCUACGGAGCAAAGCGGGGGACUUUCGGGCCUCGCGCUGUAAGAUGAGCCUGCGUCAGAUUAGCUUGUUGGUGGGGUAAUGGCCUACCAAGGCGACGAUCUGUAGCUGGUCUGAGAAGAUGAUCAGCCACACUGGGACUGAGACACGGCCCAGACUCCUACGGGAGGCAGCAGUGGGGAAUAUUGGACAAUGGGCGAAAGCCUGAUCCAGCAAUGCCGCGUGUGUGAAGAAGGCCCUUGGGUUGUAAAGCACUUUCAGCGGGGAAGAAAUGCCUAAGAAUAAUACUCUUAGGAGAUGACGUUACCCGCAGAAGAAGCACUGGCUAACUCUGUGCCAGCCGCCGCGGUAAUACA